UACAGAGGGGGCAAGCGUUGUUCGGAAUUACUGGGCGUAAAGGGCGCGUAGGCGGCCCACUAAGUCGAACGUGAAAUCCCCGGGCUCAACCCGGGAACUGCGUCCGAUACUGGUGGGCUUGAAUCCGGGAGAGGGAUGCGGAAUUCCAGGUGUAGCGGUGAAAUGCGUAGAUAUCUGGAGGAACACCGGUGGCGAAGGCGGCAUCCUGGACCGGCAUUGACGCUGAGGCGCGAAAGCCAGGGGAGCAAACGGG
rnacentral:rRNA from 1 species